rnacentral:rRNA from 1 species
UACGGAGGGGGCUAGCGUUGUUCGGAAUUACUGGGCGUAAAGGGCGCGUAGGCGAAUAUUCGAGUCGGGGGUGAAAUCCCGGGGCUCAACCCCGGAACUGCCCUCGAUACUGGGUGUCUGGAGGACGGAAGAGGCGAGUGGAAUGCCGAGUGUAGAGGUGAAAUUCGUAGAUAUUCGGCGGAACACCGGUGGCGAAGGCGGCUCGCUGGUCCGUUUCUGACGCUGAGGCGCGAAAGCGUGGGGAGCAAACAGG